UGGGGAAUUUUGGACAAUGGGCGAAAGCCUGAUCCAGCCAUGCCGCGUGAGUGAAGAAGGCCUUCGGGUUGUAAAGCUCUUUUAGUCGGAAAGAAAGAGUUGCAAUGAAUAAUUGUGAUUUAUGACGGUACCGACAGAAAAAGCACCGGCUAACUACGUGCCAGCAGCCGCGGUAAUACGUAGGGUGCGAGCGUUAAUCGGAAUUACUGGGCGUAAAGGGUGCGCAGGCGGUCUUGCAAGUCAGAUGUGAAAGCCCCGGGCUUAACCUGGGAAUUGCGUUUGAAACUACAAGGCUAGAGUGCAGCAGAGGGGAGUGGAAUUCCAUGUGUAGCAGUGAAAUGCGUAGAGAUGUGGAAGAACACCGAUGGCGAAGGCAGCUCCCUGGGUUGACACUGACGCUCAUGCACGAAAGCAUGGGGAGCAAACA
rnacentral:rRNA from 1 species